UACGAGUGGAGCGAGCGUUGUUCGGAAUCACUGGGCGUAAAGCGUGCGUAGGCGGUUAUACAUGUCAGGAGUGAAAUCCCAGGGCUUAACCCUGGAAUUGCUCUUGAAACGGUAUGACUAGAAUCCCGGAGAGGUUGGCGGAAUUCUCAGUGUAGAGGUGAAAUUCGCAGAUAUUGAGAGGAACACCAGUGGCGUAAGCGGCCAACUGGACGGGUAUUGACGAUCAGGCACGAAAGCGUGGGGAUCAAACAGG
rnacentral:rRNA from 1 species